rnacentral:rRNA from 1 species
AACGAACGCUGGCGGCAUGCCUAACACAUGCAAGUCGAACGAGACCUUCGGUCUAGUGGCGCACGGGUGCGUAACGCGUGGGAAUCUGCCCUUGGGUUCGGAAUAACAGCGAGAAAUUGCUGCUAAUACCGGAUGAUGACGUAAGUCCAAAGAUUUAUCGCCCAAGGAUGAGCCCGCGUAGGAUUAGCUAGUUGGUGAGGUAAAGGCUCACCAAGGCGACGAUCCUUAGCUGGUCUGAGAGGAUGAUCAGCCACACUGGGACUGAGACACGGCCCAGACUCCUACGGGAGGCAGCAGUGGGGAAUAUUGGACAAUGGGCGAAAGCCUGAUCCAGCAAUGCCGCGUGAGUGAUGAAGGCCUUAGGGUUGUAAAGCUCUUUUACCCGGGUAUGAUAAUGACAGUACCGGGAGAAU